rnacentral:rRNA from 1 species
GACGAACGCUGGCGGCGUGCUUAACACAUGCAAGUCGAACGAAGUGGCGAACGGGUGAGUAAUACGUGAGUAACCUGCCCUCCUUUUUGGGAUAAGCCUUGGAAACGGGGUCUAAUACCGAAUAAAGGGGGAUGGGCUCGCGGCCUAUCAGCUUGUUGGUGGGGUUAUGGCCUUCAAAGGCGGUGACGGGUAGCCGGCCUGGGAGGGUGACAGGCGGACUGGGGAAUGGGAGACGGCCCAGACGGCGACGGGAGGCGGCAGUGGGGGAUAAUGGACAAUAGGCGAAAGCCUGAAUCAGCGGCGCGGGGUGGGGGAUGAAGGCUUGCGGGUUGUAGACCUCUUUCACUAUCGAGCGGGUAGGUGGCGAGGAAGCGACGGCUAACUACGUGCCAGCAGCCGCGGUAAUUC